UAGUACUAUUUCUUCAGAAAUUCCAGUUGGAUUACUUUAUCCAGUUUGGACCUUCAUUUUUCAUACUAAUAUACUUCCUGACUAUUAUGAUCUACGUGCCCUCAACUAAAAAAAACAUACAAAAAUAUGUUCAAGACUUGGAGCGUUGGAACACUAUAAAAUAUGACAAUAAUUCAGUAUGCCAACAAAACAAAAAAGAAUUAUCUCAAGCAGUUGCGUACAUGAUCAGUAUUGUGUUCUGUGGAGUAAUUUGUGGAAUAUCAUUUGCUUUUCCAUCGGAAGAAGACAAAGAUAUUUUUUACCCUUUUUCUUUAUCUCAAGAGUUUUUUCCCGAGUUGGAAUAUUUUGUGACAUGGGGAUUUAAGUGUUGUUGCGUGCUUAUAAGUUUUGUAGGAGCAAUAUCACCAGCACAUUACCUUGUUUACGCGUUACUUCAUUUUCAAUUACAAGCAAACGUGUUGCUGCUCAACAUAGAAAACAUCAACAAAAAUUACGAGAAACAUGAAUUUCCAGACAAGGAAAUGCAAAAUGUUAUCAAAAAGAGAUUGCUGUUGUGUUUGAAACAUCAUAUUAGCAUUUCCAGAUCCACUAGAACCGCAUUCAGAAGAGCAGAAAAUUCGGUGUUGGUUUUAGAGUUGGAAGGAUGUGUUUUGUUUAUAAGUCUU